rnacentral:rRNA from 1 species
UGAAUACGAGAUGCUACGGCGUCGAAGCAGUCUAUGUCAUACUUCCAAGAAAAGCUCGCACUGUCAUAAACAAAUAAUGCCUGUACCAUAACCGACACAGGUGGGUAGGUAGAGUAUACUAAGGGGCGCGAGAUAACUCUCUCUAAGGAACUCGGCAAAAUGACUCCGUAACUUCGGGAGAAGGAGUGCCUUAUUUAUAAGGUUGCAAUAACAAGAUCCAAGCAACUGUUUAUCAAAAACACAGGUCUCCGCUAAGUCGUAAGGCGAUGUAUGGGGGCUGACGCCUGCCCAGUGCCAGAAGGUUAAAGAAGUUGGUUAGCAUUCGCGAAGCUGAUAACUGAAGCCCUGGUGAACGGCGGCCGUAACAAUAACGGUCCUAAGGUAGCGAAAUUCCUUGUCGGGUAAGUUCCGACCCGCACGAAAGGCGUAAUGAUUUGGAUACUGUCUCGGAGAGGGGCUCGGUGAAAUAGACUUGUCUGUGAAGAUGCGGACUACCUGCACCAGGACAGAAAGACCCUAUGAAGCUUUACUGUAACUUGAGAUUGAAAUUGGACUUUACUUGCGCAGUAUAGGUGGGAGGCGUUGAUAAUAUUCUUGCGGGAUUAUUUGAGCCAUCAGUGAGAUACCACUCUUGUAAUGUUAGAUUUCUAACUUUGUAUCAUUAUCUGGUCAAAGGACAGUUUCAGGCGGGCAGUUUGACUGGGGCGGUCGCCUCCUAAACGGUAACGGAGGCGCACAAAGGUUUCCUCUGAACGGGUAGAAAUCGUAUCUAGAGUGUAAAGGCAUAAGGAAGCUUGACUGUGAGACCUACAAGUCGAGCAGGGACGAAAGUCGGUCUUAGUGAUCUGACGGUGCUGAGUGGAAAGGCCGUCACUCAACGGAUAAAAGUUACUCUAAGGAUAACAGGCUGAUCUCCCCCAAGAGUUCACAUCGACGGGGAGGUUUGGCACCUCGAUGUCGGCUCAUCGCAUCCUGGGGCGGUAGUACGUCCCAAGGGUUGGGCUGUUCGCCCAUGAAAGCGGUACGCGAGCUGGGUUCAGAACGUCGUGAGACAGUUCGGUCCAUAUCCGGUGUAGGCGUUAGAAUAUUGAGAGGAGCCUUCUUUAGUACGAGAGGACCGAGAAGGACAUACCUCUGGUGUACCAGUUAUCGUGCCAACGGUAAACGCUGGGUAGCUAUGUAUGGAGUGGAUAACCGCUGAAAGCAUCUAAGUGGGAAGCCCACCUCAAGAUAAGUAUUCGC